GACGAACGCUGGCGGCGUGCUUAACACAUGCAAGUCGAACGGAAAGGCCCUGCUUUUGUGGGGUGCUCGAGUGGCGAACGGGUGAGUAACACGUGAGUAACCUGCCCUUGACUUUGGGAUAACUUCAGGAAACUGGGGCUAAUACCGGAUAGGAGCUCCUGCUGCAUGGUGGGGGUUGGAAAGUUUCGGCGGUUGGGGAUGGACUCGCGGCUUAUCAGCUUGUUGGUGGGGUAGUGGCUUACCAAGGCUUUGACGGGUAGCCGGCCUGAGAGGGUGACCGGCCACAUUGGGACUGAGAUACGGCCCAGACUCCUACGGGAGGCAGCAGUGGGGAAUAUUGCACAAUGGGCGGAAGCCUGAUGCAGCAACGCCGCGUGCGGGAUGACGGCCUUCGGGUUGUAAGCCGCUUUCGCCUGUGACGAAGCGUGAGUGACGGUAAUGGGGAAAGAAGCACCGGCUAACUACGUG
rnacentral:rRNA from 1 species